rnacentral:lncRNA from 1 species
CUGCCACGCGGCGGAAAGGCCGUGAUGUUUCGUGUUCCCAAAGAGAUGGCGAAAAUGGCGGUUUCCAUUCCCGACGAGACGCCUGACACCGACGGGACGGGACGUCCGACACCGACGGGACGAGACGCCUGACACCGAUGGGACGGAACGUCCGACACCGACGGGACGAGACGCCUGACACCGACAGGACGGGACGUCUGACACUCAUAAAACGUCUGACACCGGACCAACCAAUGGUACGGUCGUCAGAGUCAGGACUUAAUGCGAUGGAUAUCCACUCCUUUCGCCCGACGCCGCC